rnacentral:rRNA from 1 species
UUUAAUUAAGAGUUUGAUCCUGGCUCAGGACGAACGCUGGCGGCACGCUUAACACAUGCAAGUCGAACGAGAGAAGAGGAGCUUGCUUUUCUGAUCUAGUGGCGGACGGGUGAGUAACACGUGAGCAAUCUGCCUUUCAGAGGGGGAUACCGAUUGGAAACGAUCGUUAAUACCGCAUAAUAUAAUUGAACCGCAUGAUUUGAUUAUCAAAGAUUUAUCGCUGAAAGAUGAGCUCGCGUCUGAUUAGCUAGUUGGUAAGGUAACGGCUUACCAAGGCGACGAUCAGUAGCCGGACUGAGAGGUUGAUCGGCCACAUUGGGACUGAGACACGGCCCAGACUCCUACGGGAGGCAGCAGUGGGGAAUAUUGCACAAUGGAGGAAACUCUGAUGCAGCGAUGCCGCGUGAGGGAAGAAGGUUUUAGGAUUGUAAACCUCUGUCUUCAGGGACGAAAAAAGACGGUACCUGAGGAGGAAGCUCCGGCUAACUACGUGCCAGCAGCCGCGGUAAUACGUAGGGAGCGAGCGUUGUCCGGAAUUACUGGGUGUAAAGGGAGCGUAGGCGGGAUCGCAAGUCAGAUGUGAAAACUAUGGGCUUAACCCAUAAACUGCAUUUGAAACUGUGGUUCUUGAGUGAAGUAGAGGUAAGCGGAAUUCCUAGUGUAGCGGUGAAAUGCGUAGAUAUUAGGAGGAACAUCAGUGGCGAAGGCGGCUUACUGGGCUUUAACUGACGCUGAGGCUCGAAAGCGUGGGGAGCAAACAGGAUUAGAUACCCUGGUAGUCCACGCCGUAAACGAUGAUUACUAGGUGUGGGGGGACUGACCCCUUCCGUGCCGCAGCAAACGCAAUAAGUAAUCCACCUGGGGAGUACGACCGCAAGGUUGAAACUCAAAGGAAUUGACGGGGGCCCGCACAAGCAGUGGAGUAUGUGGAUUAAUUCGAAGCAACGCGAAGAACCUUACCAGGUCUUGACAUCGUAUGCAUAGCUCAGAGAUGAGUGAAAUCUCUUCGGAGACAUAUAGACAGGUGGUGCAUGGUUGUCGUCAGCUCGUGUCGUGAGAUGUUGGGUUAAGUCCCGCAACGAGCGCAACCCUUACUGUUAGUUGCUACGCAAGAGCACUCUAGCAGGACUGCCGUUGACAAAACGGAGGAAGGUGGGGAUGACGUCAAAUCAUCAUGCCCCUUAUGACCUGGGCCUCACACGUACUACAAUGGCUGUAAACAGAGGGAUGCAAAGCCGCGAGGUGGAGCGAACCCCUAAAAGCAGUCUUAGUUCGGAUUGUAGGCUGCAACCCGCCUACAUGAAGUCGGAAUUGCUAGUAAUCGCAGAUCAGCAUGCUGCGGUGAAUACGUUCCCGGGCCUUGUACACACCGCCCGUCACGCCAUGGGAGUCGGUAACACCCGAAGCCUGUAGUCUAACCGCAAGGAGGACGCAGUCGAAGGUGGGAUUGAUGACUGGGGUGAAGUCGUAACAAGGUAGCCGUAUCGGAAGGUGCGGCUGGAUCACCUCCUUUCUA